rnacentral:rRNA from 1 species
UACGGAGGGUGCGAGCGUUGUCCGGAAUCACUGGGCGUAAAGGGCGCGUAGGCGGCUCACGCAAGCGUGCGGUGAAAGCCCGGGGCUCAACCCCGGGUCGGCCGUGCGGACUGCGGGGCUCGAGCACUGUAGGGGCAGAUGGAAUUCCGGGUGUAGCGGUGGAAUGCGUAGAGAUCCGGAAGAACACCGGUGGCGAAGGCGGUCUGCUGGGCAGUUGCUGACACUGAGGCGCGACAGCGUGGGGAGCAAACAGG